AACGGAAAGGCCCUGCUUGCAGGGUACUCGAGUGGCGAACGGGUGAGUAACACGUGGGUGAUCUGCCCUGCACUUCGGGAUAAGCUUGGGAAACUGGGUCUAAUACCGGAUAGGAGCCAUCUUUAGUGUGGUGGUUGGAAAGUUUUUUCGGUGUAGGAUGAGCUCGCGGCCUAUCAACUUGUUGGUGGGGUAAUGGCCUACCAAGGCGGCGACGGGUAGCCGGCCUGAGAGGGUGUACGGCCACAUUGGGACUGAGAUACGGCCCAGACUCCUACGGGAGGCAGCAGUGGGGAAUAUUGCACAAUGGGCGCAAGCCUGAUGCAGCGACGCCGCGUGGGGGAUGAAGGCCUUCGGGUUGUAAACUCCUUUCGCUAGGGACGAAGCUUUUUUGUGACGGUACCUAGAUAAGAAGCACCGGCUAACUACGUGCCAGCAGCCGCGGUAAUACGUAGGGUGCGAGCGUUGUCCGGAAUUACUGGGCGUAAAGGGCUCGUAGGUGGUUUGUCGCGUCGUCUGUGAAAUUCUGGGGCUUAACUCCGGGCGUGCAGGCGAUACGGGCAUAACUUGAGUGCUGUAGGGGUAACUGGAAUUCCUGGUGUAGCGGUGAAAUGCGCAGAUAUCAGGAGGAACACCGAUGGCGAAGGCAGGUUACUGGGCAGUUACUGACGCUGAGGAGCGAAAGCAUGGGUAGCGAACAGGAUUAGAUACCCUGGU
rnacentral:rRNA from 1 species